rnacentral:piRNA from 1 species
UCACAUGGGUAUUCUCCAGACAGACCUGGCA